UACGUAGGGCGCAAGCGUUAUCCGGAAUUAUUGGGCGUAAAGAGCUCGUAGGCGGUUUGUCGCGUCUGCCGUGAAAGUCCGGGGCUCAACUCCGGAUCUGCGGUGGGUACGGGCAGACUAGGGUGAUGUAGGGGAGACUGGAAUUCCUGGUGUAGCGGAGAAAUGCGCAGAUAUCAGGAGGAACACCGGUGGCGAAGGCGGGUCUCUGGGCAGUAACUGACGCUGAGGAGCGAAAGCGUGGGGAGCAAACAGG
rnacentral:rRNA from 1 species